rnacentral:rRNA from 1 species
AUUGAACGCUGGCGGCAGGCCUAACACAUGCAAGUCGAACGAGUUGCGGACGGGUGAGUAAUGUCUGGGAAACUGCCUGAUGGUGGGGGAUAACUACUGGAAACGGUAGCUAAUACCGCAUACUAUCAGAUGUGCCCAGAUGGGAUUAGCUUGUUGGUGGGGUAACGGCUUACCAAGGCGACGAUCCCUAGCUGGUCUGAAAGGAUGACCAGCCAGGCGGGAACUGGGACACGGUCGCGACUCCUACGUGAGGCGUCAGUGGGGAAUAUUGCACAAUGGGAGCAAGCCUGAUGCAGCCAUGCCGCGUGUAUGAAGAAGGCCUUCGGGUUGUAAAGUACUUUCAGCGGGGAGGCGUUACCCGCAGAAGAAGCACCGGCUAACUCCGUGCCAGCAGCCGCGGUAAUUC